GAUGAACGCUGGCGGCGUGCCUAAUACAUGCAAGUCGAGCGAAGCGGGGACGGGUGAGUAACACGUGGAUAACCUCCUAUAAGACUGGGAUAACUUCGGGAAACCGGAGCUAAACCGGAUACUGAUAUAUGGAUCCGCUCUGCAUUAGCUAGUUGGUAAGGUAACGGCUUACAAAGGCAACGAUGCAUAGCCGACCUGAGAGUGUGAUCGGCCACAGUGGAACUGAGACCCGGCCCAGACUCCUACGUGAGGCAGCAGUAGGGAAUCUUCCGCAAUGGGCGAAAGCCUGACGGAGCAACGCCGCGUGAGUGAUGAAGGUUUUCGGAUCGUAAAACUCUGUUAUUAGUGAAGCGGUACCUAAGCAGAAAGCCACGGCUAACUACGUGCCAGCAGCCGCGGUAAUUC
rnacentral:rRNA from 1 species